GUUGAGAGAAAGAGAGAAGAAAGAAUGAGAUGGUUGCAUCCAAGCUUGGAGUAAGGAAGAAUGCGCUACAAGGCUUCUAGAAAGAGAGAGAGCUAAAGGGACUUAGCGGUGACUGGCGGACAUCUAACACUUACCCUUUUUUUCUACCUCUUCAGGAUCAGUAUUGUUACAAUUUCAAAUCUUUUUUCUUGAGAGAGAGAGAGAG
rnacentral:misc_RNA from 1 species